rnacentral:lncRNA from 1 species
CAAAGUGUUCACCCUCCUCUUCUCUAUAAAAAUAUAUAUAUCGGUUGAUCAAAAAAAUUUAAUCUCUUAUGAACUAUCUUAAUCUCUUAUUUGUUUAAUUAUUUAUUAAUUUUGAGGCAUAAUAUAGUUUGCUAUUUUUUUUACUUAAUUAACUUAAUUUUGUAGCUCCUUAUUCUUAUAAUCUUAAGAAAUAUGAGUAUUUAUGCUAAUAACAUAAAUCUUGAGAGAAAAAAAAAAAACUUAACUUAAUGGCCGAAUUUUUGAUCCCGAAUUUUUAAUUGGUGAACGUAUAAUAUCCGUAUAAAUUACAUAUCCGAAUAAUUAGCGAAUCCGUUUUUUAGCCGUAUUUUUUAACAAAUUUAAAAAUUAAAAAACAAAUUUUAUUCGAAUUAUACCCGUACCGAAUUUUUGCCGAAUCCGAAUUAACUAACUAUGGAUAGAACUAGCAUAUAAAACUUGGAUUGUAGAUGAUCAAAU